AUUUUCCAUCUUCAAAAAGAAAAAAAAUAGAACCAUAUGGAUGAAAAAGUUCGGGGUUAGCCUUGGCUAUAGGUGGACCAAAACCGAUUAACCAUACAUUUGGCCACCAACCCCGGAUCACUGCAAACGAAAAAGUAUGGGGAUGCUCCCCGGCAUUGAAUAUGUAUCACUAUUAACGUCACCAGAUUGAAAUGUACCGGCUAGAUGAAGACUAUUUGAUCAGCUAGUUACUUCUAUCGAAUAAAGUGGCCAAAACCAACUCAUUAUAGGUCAUGAUAUAGUAAGCAGGAAGUAUUGGAAUAUGUGGAGAGAAAACUGUGAAAACUGCUUUUUCUGUUUAUAGUUGGUUUAUAGAGGAAGUAUUAGGAAACUGGGGCACAACAAUAAUACGUGUUCCACAACUUUCAGCGCGGGUGUGUCUUCUUUUCCUGCUUGAGAUAGCGCUAUGUCACUGUUCCUCAUUUGAAGAUUUGUUUUGAUCAAAAAUAUGUUCAACUCUUUUUCACCGGCUUUCUCUUUUUAUAUUUAAUACAUAUUUGUUCCAAUACUCGGUGCGUCUUCUUAGCCGCCGAAGUGAGAUUUCAGAAUCAUCAACGUGAAAGGGUAAAAACAGUUAGGAUAGUAUAUAUGUAUAUAUAAAUUUAAUUACAUACUUCAAUAAGGAAUGGUAUAGAUUUUUCGUGGAUAAUA
rnacentral:sRNA from 1 species